AUUCCAGCUCCAAUAGCAUAUAUUAAAGUUGUUGCAGUUAAAAAGCUCGUAGUUGGAUCUGAGGCUGUCAGUAGGGGUCCAGGUUCCUGCCUGGCUACUCCUGUUGAUACCUAACUGGUGGGGUGCUGUGGGUGCCCUUGACUGGGUCGCCUACUGCUCCUACUCAAUUUACUUUGAAAAAAUUAGAGUGUUCAAAGCAGGCUCUCACGCCUGAAUAAUGGUGCAUGGAAUAAUGGAAUAGGACCUCGGUUCUAUUUUGUUGGUUUUCGGAACUUGAGGUAAUGAUUAAGAGGGACAGACGAGGGCAUUCAUACUGCAGUGCUAGGGGUGAAAUUCUUGGACCACUGCAAGACGAACUAGUGCGAAGGCAUUUGCCAAGAAUGUUUUCAUCA
rnacentral:rRNA from 1 species